AACGUAGGAGACAAACGUUAUCCGGAGUUACUGGGCGUAAAGGGCGUGUAGGUGGUUGUGUAAGUCUGGCGUGAAAUUUUUCGGCUUAACCGGGAAAGGUCGUCGGAUACUGCACAACUAGAGGACGGUAGAGGCGUGUGGAAUUCCGGGUGUAGUGGUGAAAUGCGUAGAGAUCCGGAGGAACACCAGUGGCGAAGGCGACACGCUGGGCCGUACCUGACACUGAUGCGCGACAGCAUGGGGAGCAAACAGG
rnacentral:rRNA from 1 species